rnacentral:rRNA from 1 species
UUAGAGUUUUAUCCUGGCUCAAGAUGAACGCUAGCGGCAGGCUUAACACAUGCAAGUCGAGGGGCAGCAGGGAGCGGCAACGCUCCGCUGGCGACCGGCGCACGGGUGCGUAACGCGUAUGCAACCUACCUUCAACCGGGGGAUAACUCGGGGAAACCCGAACUAAUACCCCAUAUUCCCGUCCCCCCGCAUGAGGGGGCGGGGAAAGAGCUUUGGUUUUAGAUGGGCAUGCGUGGCAUUAGGUAGUUGGCGGGGCAACGGCCCACCAAGCCUACGAUGCCUAGGGGAGCUGAGAGGCUUACCCCCCACACUGGUACUGAGAACACGGACCAGACUCCUACGGGAGGGAGCAGUGAGGAAUAUUGGUCAAUGGGCGGAAGCCUGAACCAACCAUGCCGCGUGGAGGACGGAGGCCCUAUGGGUCGUAAACUCCUUUUGCCGCAAAGAAAUAAGGGUCCUUGCGGGGCCCCGAUGAAAGAUUGCGGGAAAUAAAGCAUCCGGCUAAACUCCGUGGCCAGCAGCCGCGGAAAUACGGAGGGAUGCGAAGGUUAUUCCGGGAUUUAUUGGGUUUUAAAGGUGGCGUAGGCGGGGCCUUUAAGUCAGCGGUGAAAUACCCCGCCCCCAACUCGGGGGGGCUGCCCGUUGAUACUGUGGGCCUGGAGUCCGAACGGCGCCGGCGGAAUAUGCAAAUGUAGCGGUGAAAUGCUUAGAUAUUGCAUAGAACACCGAUCGCGAAGGCAGCUGGCGAGGACGGCACUGACGCUGAGGCACGAAGGUGCGGGGAUCAAACAGGAUUAGAUACCCUGGUAGCCCGCACAGUAAACGAUGAUGACUUGUUGUCGGCGAUAGACGGUCGGCGACAAAGCGAAAGCGAUAAGUCAUCCACCUGGGGAGUACGAUCGCAAGGUUGAAACUCAAAGGAAUUGACGGGGGCCCGCACAAGCGGAGGAGCAUGUGGUUUAAUUCGAUGAUACGCGAGGAACCUUACCCAGACUCAAAUGGGGGCCGGCAGGCGCGGAGACGCGCCCUCCCUCCGGGGCGGCCUUCAAGGUGCUGCAUGGUUGUCGUCAGCUCGUGCCGUGAGGUGUCAGGUUAAGUCCUAUAACGAGCGCAACCCCUACGUCCAGUUGCCAGCGGGUCGAGCCGGGGACUCUGGACGGACUGCCGGCGCAAGCCGAGAGGAAGGCGGGGAUGACGUCAAAUCAGCACGGCCCUUACGUCUGGGGCGACACACGUGCUACAAUGGCCGGUACAGAGGGCAGCCACGCCGCGAGGCGGAGCGAAUCUCGAAAGCCGGUCUCAGUUCGGAUCGGAGUCUGCAACCCGACUCCGUGAAGUUGGAUUCGCUAGUAAUCGCGCAUCAGCCAUGGCGCGGUGAAUACGUUCCCGGGCCUUGCACUCACCGCCCGUCA